CGCAGCAAUGCCGGGUGAGUGAAGAAGGUUUUCGGAUCGUAAAGCUCUGUUAUUGGGGAAGAAAAAAAGACGGUACCCAAGAAGAAAGUUCCGGCUAACUACGUGCCAGCAGCCGCGGUAAUACGUAGGGAACAAGCGUUGUCCGGAUUUACUGGGCGUAAAGGGCACGCAGGCGGUUUUUUAAGUCAGAUGUGAAAGGCCACAGCUCAACUGUGGACAUGCAUUUGAAACUGAAAGACUUGAGUAUUGGAGAGGCAAGUGGAAUUCCUAGUGUAGCGGAGAAAUGCGUAGAUAUUAGGAGGAACACCGGUGGCGUAGGCGGCUU
rnacentral:rRNA from 1 species